rnacentral:rRNA from 1 species
AGCCGGGGCUUCUUCUCCAGGUACCGUCAUUAUCUUCCCUGGUGAAAGAGUUUUACAACCCUAAGGCCUUCUUCACUCACGCGGCAUCGCUGGAUCAGGCUUUCGCCCAUUGUCCAAUAUUCCC